UAAAAUACUCUGUUCGUGUUAUUGCAGAAGGACUUUGUUGUGUGUCGCCUUGAAAAUACUUUGUUGUUUCCACUAAGAGAAAACGGGAGAAGAAGACGCUUGGUGUUGUUUCCACUAAGAGAAAACGGGAGAAGAAGCUUGGUGUUUCCACCAGCGAUGGUGAUCAAUCUUGUCAAAAUUUGACUUCUAAAAGAAGUCACGUUGCAGAAGAUACUAAUAGAAAUCAUGUUGCAGAAAAAGUAGAUUUGGUUUCUACUAGAAAUUAUGUUGCAGAAAAUAUUGGUUUGGUCCCUGAACCUCAGGGAAGGGACCAUUCGAUUUCUUGUUACAGAAAUCAUGUUGCAGAAAAAAUCGUCGAAGAUUCUGUUGAGGCAGAAACUCGACGGCUUGCAGAACUCAAUCGACGGGGUGAUGGCUAUGAUGGACGGAAUGACGCCUCUGUCUGGGCUCUGCAGUCAUCAGAUUAUCCAGAACAGGAAUCAUCAGAUUAUAGUGGUUCUAGUUGUGGUAGCGGUUUAUUGAAUUCUCAAUUGGACGGUGGGCAGGUCGGUGGCCAGUUCAAUUCAAGGAGGGAUAUUCAGACUGAAUACUCUCCUGAGGAAACUGGAGAGACCACUCCUGACUUCUUGACAUCGAAGUCAGAUGAAGGAGUUUACGUGGAGGAUGGCAGUGACGCGAACCCUGAAACCGAAUCCUUCAAUGAAUGGGUAAACAUGGUCUUUGACUAUCAAAUCCUCAAGGAGUAUAUUAGAUCAUUAUGAAUGUUAUAAUAUUGCUUCAGUUAUGGUGUAUUGUAUUCCAGGCUCUGUAUUCUUUGAGAGUAGUUUUUACACCCAAGAGGUUGUUAACUGAAUGUUGCUGUCCAGUAUGCAUAGAUUUUGUAAUGUUAUUGCCCAAUCGUUAACUGAAUCAGCUUUACAGAAAUGAAACUGUUGUUUUGGGCUUGUACCUUUCGCGACUGAUAUACCUAUUUUCUUCUUUGAAUUGAAAGUGGUUUUAUUCUCAGGGAAAAAAAAAAAGAUUGUAUUUUUUACAUAUCGGGAAUAUUAGAUAAACAUUCAGUCUUGCUCAUCAAAGAAAUUUACUGAUUAACUGAAAUAUCAAACAAAAGAUCCAUAAUCCAUUGAUAUAUGAUGUUAAAAAUUCUUGUGAUGGGAACCAUUUCAUUCAUGUAUGUAUGACACCUUUUUGUUGGCUUCUCAAACAAUCUCCGAGCAUCCUUGUAAAUAAUACGAAGAUGUUAGUCAAGCAGUUCAUUGUGGCUUUGAAGCUUAAAUUAACAAUCUCCGAGCAUCCUUGUAAAUAAUACAAAGAUGUUAGUCAAGCAGUUCAUUGUGGCUUUGAAGCUUAAAUAAUUUUCACAUAUUGAAAAGCAAAAAACGAGAGAUAAACUGAACCCCAUCCCAGAUGACUGAAGUUGCUCCUUCAGAAAGGUGACUUAUUUACUUUAAAGAAUCAAGUAAUAAAGCAGAAACAAGAGAUAAAAAUGCGCAGAGCACUGCUUAUUUCAAUUUAUUGGAAUACAACUACAGCUACUCUGCGCUCCUCAUAAUCUUCUUCCAAUGGUCUACAUGGAUUUAAUAGAAAGCUAGUGAAAUGAUUUUGAAGAUAAAAUUGGUCAUUCCAGAUUUAUUAAAAUUGAUUCUGAAAACACAUUUCUGAAAGAACAUUUUUGAAAACACAUUUCUGAAAAUACAUAUUUUAAAAAGUGCUGACUAAUAUCCAAAGAAAUAUUUUUUUCAAUGGUAAAAUAUAGAGUUGGUAAAAUUUGACACGAUCCGAUUACCUGAUACGAACACGACAUAAAUAAAUGGGUAUGAGUCGUCAAAUUUAACACGAUUAUUAAAUAGGUCGGGUUCGGGUCAACAUGAUUUUUUUCCGUGUCGGGUUUGGGUUAGGGUUAAAAUUCUUGACCCAUUUACCCGAUAAUGACUCGAUUAUAUUUUCUAUUUUAAAAUAAUUUAUAUAUUCUUAUAAUUAAAACUCAAAUAUUAGAGAUGAUUUUCUUUUUUUUAUUCUUUAGAAGGGUGAAUAUAAACACAGUGUUUUAUUUAUAAAAUUUUACAUACAUUUAGAGCUUCAAUAGUGUAAAUGUGUAAAAAUUGAUAGACAUGUAUAUUUUAUAAUAUUGAUAUAUAAUAUUUUAUAUAUAUAUAAUUAAAACCUCAAUAGUGUAAAUGUGUAAUAUAUUGGUAGAUAUAUAUAUUUUAUAAUAUCGAUAAAUUAUGUAUGUAUGUAUGUAUGUAUUUAUGUACAUACGUAUGUAUGAUAGUGUGUAAAUAUUUUAUGUAACUUUUGUUCAAUAUAUAGAUAUUAAACAGGUUAUUGGGUAACCCGAUGAUUUUUCCGUGUCGGGUUUGAGUCUCAAUAUUUUGACACGAUUAUUAAAUGGGUCGGGUUUGGGUCGACCUAAAUUUGACACGACACGAACACGAUCCGAUGACCCGUUUUGCUAGCUCUAGUAAAAUAUAAAUACCAAGCCAACAAAAUCGUAUUCUAAAAUAGAUUUUUAGAAAGGAUAAAUGCUCAUUUAGUCCAUAUAUUUUAAUAUUAGUGCCCAUAAUUUUAAAAAUAAUUCAAAACAUCUCUGUUGUUAAACUAUUGAUAUCUCUGCCGUUACAUUCCAUUCAUUUUAACUUACUUUUAUAAUAUUACCCUCUUAAAAUAUUUUUUUUGGAUAUUAAUAAAAAAAUUAAAUUACCAAUUGAACUCUAAAAAUAAAAUAAAAUAAAAACAAAAAGAAUAUUUAAUAUUUUUUUUGGAAGCUCACCUAUGUCCAAAAAAAUUAGUCUUGUAAAAAAAAUCAAAUUACCAAUUUUUUGAACAUUAAUAAAAAAAUUAUAUAUUAACUCUUCAGUAAUAUAUUUCACUAAAAUUAAUAUAUAAUAUUUUUAUUUUAUUUUUGGGUUAAAUUGGUUUAAUUUUUUCUUUUUAUUAAUGUCUAAAAAAUUACUGAAAGAGGAUAAUAUUAUAAAAUUAAACUAAAAAAUAAAAAAAUAAAAAAAUAAUGAUAGAAUAUCAAUAAUUUAAUGGUAAAGAUGUUUUAAAAUUUUUUUAAAUAUAUAAAAAUUUAAAAAUACUAACUUCAAAGUAUAGAGAUUAAAUAAAUUUUUUAACCUUUUAAAAAUCAGUCGAUAUCUCCCCUAAUUGAAUGAUUUCAAAAGAGAUAUUUAGAAAUCAGUCAAGACCACUACCAAUUGAAUGAUGUUAACCUCUCUGCUUGAGGCGGAUUCUGGUAUGAGAUGAGUCAUCUGCCUCAUUUUGCUACAUCAAAUUAAAUGUCCCUCGAGUCAUAUGCUGACGUGAAUUAUUAACAACUUGUGAAAGAAGUAGAAGCUUCUAGGCUCUAGCAUUAUGUCCUUUGUUGAUGUCACUCUAAUGCCUAAAGGUUAUGCUUGUUUUGGAGUGGUAGAUGGAUUUUAAUAGUGGUAUGUCAAAUUUCCAAUGACCUAAGAUGAGGAUUUUGUGUGAGAAUUUUCUAGUGAUUUUUUGUGUUUUUGUUGAUUUUUUAUGAUUUUAUUUUUUUUUUAGUAUUUUGUUAGUUCAUUAAAUUCAUAGAUAUUUACUUUUGAAUUUUUUCAUAGAUAUUUACUUUUGAGUUCUUCUAUUAUGAUCCGGUGAUAAUAUUGUGUUUGAAUGGUAAGUUUGACAUAAUUAUUUAAUGGGUCAUAUCCUUGUUAAUUAAGGAUGACAAAAUUCAGAUGGCUAUAAUUAUUAGCCAUCUAUGUGUAAAUACAUAAUUAUCCAAUAUGAAUAUGGAUAUUCAAGGGUGGACAUGGAUAUUUAAUUUUUAUUAUAAAUCACUAUGUAUUUUAUAAUAUGAAAAACUAAUUAAUGUGUUUUACAUAAAAAAAUCUUAUUUUUUAUUUAAUUUCCUAAAAUGAUUAAUAUUAAAAGGUAAUUAAAAUUAUUUUCAAUAUAGAAACAAAAUAAUAAAACAAAAUUAUUACUCUUAUUUUUAAUUACCAAAAAAUAAAUAUUUAAAUUAUUUUCAAAUAGAGUAAUUGUUAAGAUUUAUUCUUUUUAUUUGAGGACAAAAACUCAACUAAAAGUACAAAAUUCUUGUUCAAAUGAACAGAAUGAUUUUACGAAUUGAUAAACUAACACUUUAUUAUUAGUAGUAAAUUAAUAUAUUUUUCUACAUAAUCAAAUAAUUAAUAGUAUGUGAAAUAAAUAUUAUGUUACAAGAAAAUAAUAAAACAUUAAUCAUAAAUUAGAACCUGUCUACGGUGCAACUCUGUGACUAAGGGUAUCUCCAAUACUUAAUACUAUUUUGGUGUAACACCAACACAAAAAAUGUACAUUUUUCACACCAAAUUACUAUUUCAUCUCCAACCUAUUUACACCAAAUUUUACACUAAAAAGAAUAUUUUCUUUUUAUUCUUUUAAUUCUCAAGAAUUAAUUUAAUUAACACAAUAAAUAUUACUAUUAAUAUAGAUAAUUAAGUAAUAAGUAAUUUAUAUCGAUUAACAAAAAAAUAUAUAGAAGAUUAUUAAAUUUGUAUUUAAUUAACUAAAUUAGUACAUUAUGAAAAUUAAACAAUACAUUAAUAUAGAAAAAUACAAUAACAAUAAUAAUACUUUAGUUAUUCGAAUUACUAAAUUUAUCCAUAAAUGAUCAAUUAGUGGAUUUCAGAGUGCAAUGUGAGCCUCUUUAUCCUUGAUUUGUUUGUGUCGAGCAAGAAAUUCUUGAAAUCUAAUAUUCUCAUCUACCCUUAUAGCAACGGUUGGUAUUGGCGCUUGCAUCCAAUCAUUAAUUGUUGCAUUAACAUCACGUUCAUCUUCGAUUAUCAUAUUGUGUAUAAUAAUGCAAACAAUCAUUAUAUCAUGUAACUCAUGUUUGAUCCAAAAACGUGAUGGUCCAGCAACAAUUGCAAAACGUGAUUGAAGGACUUCAAAUGCUCGUUUUACAUCUUUCUGAUAUGCUUCUUAUUUCAUGUCAAAUAAUUUCUUUGUAGGACCACGUAGAUCAUGGAUAGUUUGUACAAGAGUAGACCAUUUUGGGUAGAUAGCAUCAGCUAAAUAAUAACUCAUAUUAUAUUCGUUCCCUUUAAUGACAUAAUGAGCUGGAGGAGUAAUACAUGAAGCGAGAUUGGCAAAAAGAUGGGAUGCCUCCAAUAAAUUAAUGUCAUUAUUUGAACCAGGCAAACCAAAAUGUGCAUGCCAUAUCCAAAUAUCAUAAUCAACUACAGCCUCCAGAAUAAUAGUUGGGGUUCCACUACGACCAACAUAUUGUCCGGCCCAAGCUGUUGGAUAAUUUUUCUACUUCCACUGCAUGUAAUCAAGGCUGCCUAACAUUCCUAAAAAACCACACUCUUUACGAACAUGGAGUAGCCUGGCGGCGUCAUUAGUGUUGGGUGAUCUAAGAUAUUGCUCUACAAAAACUUCCACAAUUGUACGACAGAAUCUCUUUAAACUUUCAAUUGUUGUAGACUCUCCAAUUUUAAUAUACUCAUCACUAGCAUCUAUUGGCCUGCCAUAUGCCAACAUCCGAAAUACAACAAUGAUUUUUUGAAGACCAGAUAACCUAAGUCUGUCGACGCCAUCCCUUCGCUGCAUAAAAUAGUUGUCAUGACCUUGCACGGCAUUAGUAAUACGAUUGAAUAAACUUCGAGACAUUCUAAAUCGACGGCAAAACAUUGAAUCAUUGAAACGUGGGUUCUUUGAGAAGUAGUCGUUGACCAGAUUACGAUUAGCCAUUUCACGAUCGCGGUUGAUUAUUAAAUGACCUGUAACUGAACCAUUAUGGAUCACUUUGUUGUUUAGUUGAUUGAGAUAGUAAACCAUGCAAAUAUUGUUGUUUGAAGUCAUGCUAAUUAUCGCUUCUUCAUGUACAUUGAUCGCCUCAAUAUCAUUUUAAUAGGUUUACAUCAUCAUCAUUUUCAACAUCAGAAUUUGAAGAAGAUGAAGAAUAUGAUAAGUGCUGAGAUGAACUUCCAAUAUUGAAAUUCAUUUUCAAAGAUAUGUAAAUUGAAUGAGCUUUAGUACACAUAAGUAUAUCAUUUUUAUGAUAGAUUUACUUUUACCCAAUCUUAUUAUAUCUACACAUAAUUCAAAAUUUAAAGAUAAUGAUUCUCUCAUAUUCAAUACCAACCCUUGGAUGGAUUUCACUUAUUUUCAUCAAUUAGAUUUAUUUUUACCCAAUUUUAUCAUAUCUACACAUUAUUCAAAAUUUAAAGAUAAUGAUUCUCUCAUAUUCAAUACCAACUGUUGGAUGGAUUUAACUUAUUUUCAUCUAUUAGAUAUGUUUCUUUUUCAUCUAUAAGUACCAUUGUAAACUUCACUUCACUCAAACAUAUCUCUUCAACCAUUUAUUCUAUAAAAUGGCUCUAACUCCAAGAAGUACUUCAUACACCCAUGAAGAAGAUAUACACUUAUGUCAUAUAUAUCUUGAUAUUUCCCAAAACCCUAUUGUUGGUAUAAAUCAAUCUCGAGAUGCAUUUUGGUCUCGAGUUGAAAUUGAAUACAAUAAUUCUAAACUGGAGUUCACCACUCAAGUUCGACCAAGAAGAUCUUUGCAAAAACAAAUGCAAAGUAUUCUAGCUGCAAUUGGCAAACUGAGGGGAUGCGUUCAACAAAUUGAAAAUCAAAAUCCAAGCGGUGCUUCCGAACAAGAUAUUGUAAACUUAUAUUACAUCUUUACUAAUUUUAUCUUACACUUAUUUUAUAUAUAACAUUCUAAUUACAUUAUUUUGUAGCUAAAUCGAGCGAAUGUGUUACUGGCACAAGAUAAGAAAUACAAUAAAGGGUUCAAAUUUGAUCAUGUAUGACCUAUCCUUAAAGAUAUUGAAAAAUUUGGAGAUAAUCAUAGCAUCGCAACACCAUACUUUCGAAGGCAAAGUAGCGAAUUUGUGUCAUCACAAUCAGAUUCUCCCGCUCCGGAGUCUCCAACAUCAGCAUCUAUUGGUCUAUCAUCAUUUUCACUAAAUAUAAAUGAUGAGCAUGUUGACGAUUGUUCUACUCAACGACCCAUUGGAGUAAAGAAGGCAAAAGGAAAACGGAAAGUUGAAGAUCAAAAUUCACUAGUUAUUGAUACUAUUAAAGAAGACAAUCGACGACUUUAUGAAAUUCUUAAAAAAGGCAGUGAAGAUAGGCAAUAAAAUUAUUAAAUUCAAAUGAUAGGAGCCCAAAAUGAGAAAAAAAAUUGGAGAUGGUCACAUAUCGUGAAGAAAAUAAAAUUUUACUUAAAGAUUUAAAUUCGAUAAGUGAUCCGAGCUUACGUCAAUAUUUUUUAAAAUGAACAAAUUAAGAUUUUGCAGAGAAGAUCUCAGUAAGGCCAAGCAUCUCAAAAUAUUGCCAAUAAUAUUGGCCAAUAUUUUGAUUAUAUUAGAAGAUCUAAUAAUGAUCUCCCAGAUUAUUAAAUAAUUGCUCCAAUUUAUGCUAGUAGUAGUAGCUUUUUUAAUUUGUGUUAAUUUAAUUUUGUAAUAUGUAAUCUAGUAAUUAAUGUUAUUGGCAUUUUAUUUUUAUUAUUAAUUUUUGUGUUGAAUAUUUUUUUAUUUAAAAUAUUAGUAUAAUAAUAAAAAAUAAAAAAAUAAAAAAAAAUAACAAUAAUAAUAAUAAUUUAAAAUAUUAUAUAAAAUAGGACAUAUAUGUAAAUAAAAAAUAAUAAUAAGGAUAUUUGAGUUUUUUUUUCUAACACUAAAUGAAUAGUAUUGUACCAUAUUUAGUGCAAUAUUAUUCAUAACACUAUUUUAGUAUUGAUUUCGGUAUUACAUGAAAAAAAUAUUUUACACCAAAAUAAUAUAAAAUAUAAUUUAGUGUUAGUUUUAGUGUUACGUUCAAAAUGGCCUAACAUCUCCCACCAUCCUACUAAUCCCAUUUUCUAUUGUUUAAUUUCUCACUCCACAUCCAACGGCUGAUGCAGUCUGUAGCUUACAGAAUCUGUAAGCUAGCAAAGCCCUAUAAAUUAUAAAUAGAGUACAUUAAAUCAAAGUAGCAGAAAAUUCUAGAUUUUCUGUAGCUGGAUUGUGAUUUGUGAUGAAGCAGGGAGGGUGACGCGUAACUGUAAAAGCAGAGUCAAAAAGGAAAGUGGCGAUGGCCUUGUGGGGUCUUAGGCUACUUGGGUACCACGAAAACCGGAUAAACUUUACUCUUGUUUUUGGAAAAAAUAAUAAGAUUCUACCGGAUGAACUUUUAUUUUAUUUUAUUUUACCUUUUUAGUAUUUUGUUAGUUCAUUAAACUCACAGAUAUUUAAUUUGAGAUUUUUUAUUAUGAUUGGGUGAUUAUGUUGUGUUUCAUUUAUUAGCACUAUGUUGCAUUUUUUUUUUCAAUCAGACCUUAUUAGAUCUACUAUGUAGAACAAUUUUUUCUUUUAAUUGUAAAGAAUUGAUAGUAUUGAUAGUUCACUUUUUUAGUAUAUGUUGUUAUUACUGUCAUAAAAAUAUUGAUCACUGGAGUCUUAGAUUCUUCCAUAAUUUAAGUGUUGUAUUUAAAUCUGAUGUAACAUAAUAUAUUAAACCCGAUGGUGUCACUUAUUAUUAUACUUUUGGCCAACUUUAUUUAUUUAAAAAAUUAUUAAUUUCUUUUUGAAAAAAUACAAUUCUACAUUCCACAAAUAUCACAACCAUUGUUUCCACGAACCUUACUUCCCCUGGCACUGUAGCACAUCGCGUAGAAAUUAAGUCAAGCCUUUCUGCUGCCUAUAUAACCAUCCACAUCCCAUGGCCCUCGCCUUAUUGCAGACCAAAUUGGAUAGAAGAAGCUCUUACUGUCUCAUUCUUGUUCUACGUUUCUCCUGCCGUGUGUUGAAUCAGAAAUUAAUGGACAGUCUCGUGGGGUUCAGAUUCCACCCAACUGAUGAAGAAAUUAUUCUUCUCCUGACGAUGAAGAGACGUGACCCUACAGGUUUCUCCGUCCGUACGAUCAAGGAAAUCGAUCUCUACAGCUUUGAGCCCCGGGAGCUACCCUGUAAGUAAUCGUGCCAACCAAGUACUCCGCACGAUGUCUGUUUAAGAUUAAUUAGUUCAGUAACUAGAAUUCAGAAGUUAAUGGAAUAUUUUGUUGCGAUGCAGGCCAUUCUGACAUUCAGUCUGAGGAGGAAGUGUGGUACUUUUUCUGUGAGCCUUGUUACAAAAAUUCCGAGAGUAAACGGGUACAUAGAAGAACAAAGGAAGGCUACUGGAAAAAGACUGGCAGAGGCUCUAACAUCAACCGCAAAUACAAGACUGAGGUGAUUGGUACGAAGAAGUUUUUGUCUUUUUCCCGCGAUGAUGCUGCUGCCCAGAAAAAUAUGACUGAGUGGGUUAUACACGAGAUAGCUGUUGAAGAUAGCCCUGACUUUAAGGUAUUAGCCUCUGUUUUAGAACUGCAUAUGUGUUGUGAAAUAGUCUGUUUGUUUUCGUGAAAAAUAAUUGUAAAAUACUCUGUUCAUGUUAUUGCAGAAGGACUUUGUUGUGUGUCGCCUUGAAAGAAAACGGGAGAAGAAAACGCUUGGUGUUGUUUCCACUAAGAGGAAACGGGAGAAGACGCUUGGUGUUGUUUCCUCUAAGAGAAAACGGGACAAGAAGCUUGGUGUUUCCACCAGCGAUGGUGAUCAAUCUUGUCAAAAUUUGACUUCUAAAAGAAGUCACGUUGCAGAAGAUUCUAAUAGAAAUCAUGUUGCAGAAAAAGUAGAUUUGGUUUCUACUAGGAAUCAUGUUGCAGAAAAUAUUGUUUUGGUCCCUGAACCUCAGGUAAGGGACCAUUCGAUUUCUUGUUACAGAAAUCAUGUUGCAGAAAAUAUCGUCGAAGAUUCUGUUGAGGCAGAAACUCGACGGCUGGCAGAACUCAAUCGACGGGGUGAUGGCUAUGAUGGACGGAAUGACGCCUCUGUCUCGGCUGUGCAGUCAUCAGAUUAUCCAGAACAGGAAUCAUCAGAUUAUAAUGGUUCUAGUUGUGGUAGCGGUUUAUUGAAUUCUCAGUUGGACGGUGAGCAGGUCGGUGGCCAGUGCAAUUCACGGAGGGAUUUUCAGAAUGAAUACUCUCCUGAGGAAACUGGAGAGACCACUCCUGACUUCUUGACAUCGAAGUCAGAUGAAGGAGUUUACGUGGAGGAUGGCAGUGACGCGAACUCUGAAACCGAAUCCUUCAAUGAAUGGGUAAACAUGGUCUUUGACUAUCAAAUCCUCAAGGAGGAUAUUAGAUCAUUAUGAAUGUUGUAAUGUUGCUUCACUUAUGGUGUAUUGUAUUCCAAGCUUUGUAUUCUUUGAGAGUAGUUUUUACACCCAAGAGGUUGUUAAUUUUGUAAACUAAAGGCAAGGCAGCAGGUCCGAGAUCUUCUGGGUUGUCUCAGAAUUCAGAACUUAAUGAGGGGAUCAUGUUACUGUCCAGUAUGCUCAUAGAUUUUGCAAUGUUAUUGCCCAAUCUUUAGCUAAAUCAGCUCUAUAGAAAUGUGAAACUGUUGUUUUGGGCUCGUACCCUUCGCGACUUAUGUACCUAUUUUCUUCUUUGAAUUGAAAGCGUCUUUAUUCUCAGGAAAAAAAAGAUUGUAUUUUUUACAUAUUGGGAAUAUUAGAUAAGCAUGUAGUCUUGCUCAUCAAAGAAAUUUACUGAGUAACUGAAAUAGAAAAUAAAAGAUCCA
rnacentral:lncRNA from 1 species